AGCGAACGCUGGCGGCAGGCUUAACACAUGCAAGUCGAGCGGGCAUAGCAAUAUGUCAGCGGCAGACGGGUGAGUAACGCGUGGGAACGUACCUUUUGGUUCGGAACAACUGUGGGAAACUUCAGCUAAUACCGGAUAAGCCCUUACGGGGAAAGAUUUAUCGCCGAAAGAUCGGCCCGCGUCUGAUUAGCUAGUUGGUGAGGUAAUGGCUCACCAAGGCGACGAUCAGUAGCUGGUCUGAGAGGAUGAUCAGCCACAUUGGGACUGAGACACGGCCCAAACUCCUACGGGAGGCAGCAGUGGGGAAUAUUGGACAAUGGGCGCAAGCCUGAUCCAGCCAUGCCGCGUGAGUGAUGAAGGCCCUAGGGUUGUAAAGCUCUUUUGUGCGGGAAGAUAAUGACGGUACCGCAAGAAUAAGCCCCGACUAACUUCGUGC
rnacentral:rRNA from 1 species